CCCUGUAUGAGCCUGCAGAAUGGUGGAUGGAAGGCUUGGGUUCUUCCGGAGUCAGACUUCUCAAUUUCAAAUCCCUGCUGUCCACUUCCUGAGCCUGUGCUUUUCGAGGCAUACCCAGAAACCCAGUGUCGCCGAGAUAGCUUUGCCUUUCUAAGCCUCAGUUUCCUCUUCUGCUAUAGGGGAACAAUGGCAGUGCCUACCACAUUGGACAGUCCAGAGAAAUGAGAUAAUCCACCUAACGUCUUUCGCCCACUGUAUGUCACAAAGUAAGUACUCAAUAAAUGCUGUUUAUUAGUACUAAAGAAGUCCCUGGUGGUGCUAACUAAACGAUUAAUGAGUCUGGCUGCUAAAGAAAGGCUAGAGGUUAAAGUCCACCCAGAGGAACUUUGGAAGAAAGGCCUGGUAACCUACUUCCGAAAAAAUCAGCCUUUGAAAACCCUGUGGAGCACAGUUCUACUCUGACACACAUGGGAUUGCCAUAAGUCAAAUGACCCCAAGGCAAUUGGUAUUAGUAUUAAACUUUCACAGUGGGUAGCUUGCAUGGCGGCUGCUAUUCUCCUUCCACUGAUGAGAAGGUUCGGAGAGGCGAAGUAACUUUCCAGGCCCGUACUACUAGAAAGCUGCCUCCAGGGACCUGAAGAGCUCAAGCCCUGAAGUGGGUCAAGGCUGCGGUGAGGCCAGGAGAAUUCCAGCAUUUAUUGAGCACUUACUGUAUGCCUGAUUCUGUGACAGUUCUUGAUAUUAGCCCUGUUUGGGAAUUUUAAUCCUUAUUUUGUGGACAAGGAAACAGGCUCAGUGGGGACUAGGGAUGUAAGGAAGUUGACUCAGCGAGGAAACUGGCUUGAGAACCCACAUGUGGGACUCUCUGUGUUGCCCACCGACUGGGACUCCCGCAGCUAGAAGCUCAAGGAUUUUUACACAAUGCAGGCCUGUUAACCACUCUUGUUUACCACCUGGGGCUCAGCCUGGGAGCACCUGGACCAAACUCCUGUUUGCGCUUUAGAGGAGAAAGUUCUGGAGGAGAAGAGAGUAGUCAGAGUGGAUCUAGCUUCAGCUUUGCCGCGGCUGUGCUGUGUGGCCUAGGGUCACCAAGAUGCUGGCUGUGGUGGUCCUCUUUGCUCUGCUGUGGCUGCCAUAUCGCACCCUGGUGGUGGUGAAUUCCUUCCUGAGCCUGUCCUACCGCAACCUCAGCUUCCUGCUCUUCUGCUGCCUUUGCAAUCAUCUACACCCUCAUGUCCCAGCACUUCCAGGAGGACUUCCAUGGGCUAUUCCAGUGCCAGCUGACUCACCCAAGCUCCCGCCCCAGAAGGUCACCCCUGUGUACUACAGUGUCAUCAAAGACUGUUCCCAGCAGGGCUUGGGCUCUUAGAAGGAAGCAGAGAGCCUGCUGUCCAGACAGGAGCAGCCCCAGCACCUCAGGGUGAAGCCCACCACCUUACCCCUACUGGUGAAGGGCCUCUGCACACCUGGAGAGAGCACAGCUGUUGGAGGAGGAGCGUCCAGGGCUGCUGGGUAGAGUUGCACAGGUUGUGCACUGCACAGCCCUAGGGGUCACCACUCACAUCCUAGAUUUGGAUAGUAAGGCAAUUUCCUAGUUUAAUAAAUAUACGGAAACCCUGGUGGCGUAGUGGUUAAGUGCUACGGCUGCUAACUAAAGGGUCAGCAGUUCGAAUCUGCCAGGCACUCCUUGGAAACUCUAUGGGGCAGUUCUACUCUGUCCUAUGGGGUCGCUAUGAGUUGGAAUCGACUCGACGGCACUGGGUUUGGUUUUUGUUUUUUAAUAAACAUACACAUUUAGGAGAGAGGCAACUUUUUAUAAUUUACACAAAAAUACUGUAUGUACUAAUGGCGGCCUGGGUGGGUAAGUAUUUGUGGAGAUCAGGUAGCGUGGGAGGACUUGCCAGGGAUCUUCUGGCAGUGGCGUCACCAGCAUUGGUGUCACCCAGUGUGGUAACUCAUAAUGUCACCUCUCUCCCCUCCCCCACCUGGACCCCCUCCCCCACCAGGCCCUACAGAAUCCUUAGUGAUGUUUUUUGUACUGGUGCCACUCAUAAAUCAUGAUUCCUGUGUAUCACUCCUUCUUUUCCUUUAAUCACCACUUCAUUCUCAAAAAAGUUAUUGGUGUAGGUUCACAAAUACUAAUUACCACAAUACUGUAGCUAAAACACCAGAAAAUCUGACAAAAUCAGCGAUUAUAAAAACACAGGCAGCAACAAAAACAACGGGUCAAAACCAGUGACAUGGCUGUCUAAUUGUAAGGGACCCCCCCAAAAAAAAGCCAAAUCCAUUGCCAUUGAGUCCAUUCCGACUCAUAGCAAUCCUACAGGACAGAGUAGAACUGCCCCAUAGGGUUUCCAAGGAGCAGCUGCUGGAUUCGAACUACUGACCUUUUGGUUAGCAGCCAAGCUCUUAACCACUGCACCACCAGGUAAGCGGACAGGGGAGCGUAAUUUUCCUAUGAUCCCAAAAGCUAAGGAGAACUAGAAGUGGGUGAGCACUAGAAUUCUCUACCACACAGGGUGGCUGCAAGACGAGAGAACAUACCUUCCACAGAGAAGGUAGACAGGGGGUGCUACCUCUUCAUCUGCUUGCCCCCUUCCAACCAGUGGUGCAGCAAGUCCUGCCCCGAGCUCAUUUCCUUGAUGUCAGGGUCUGGCUAUAUA